AGCACUUAAUCUGCAUGAAUGUG
rnacentral:miRNA from 1 species